UCACGAGCGUACUCAGAUACGCUCAUUCCGGGCAUCUGUUUCAGCCUCUCAAACUGAAGAGCCCGAUUCUGCCUCUCAACCGAAGACAAAAACUCAUCCAUCACUGCUUGCCUGAACUCUUCCCAGGUUGGAGGAUUCCUACUGUACAAUCUGUCCUCCACGUGCCUCUGGUACCAGCCCCAGGCAUCUUCUUUUAUUGUGAGCCCUACAAGUUCUAUUGCCCUUGCAUCAGAACAGGGCAGUCUCCGUAUCAUCUUUUCAGUCUCCUCCAGGAAUCUCUGAGGAUCUUCACCUUCUUCCCCCUUAAACUCUGGGGUUCUGAGCCUCAGAAAUUCCUGUACGGUAAUCCCCUCAUCAUCUAGAGCCCGCCUGGCCAAACUUCUUUGUUGCCCAGUAGAUACAACCCAAGAGGGGGGGGUGAAUUGGGUCUUUUAAAACUUUUAAGCUACUUCUAACACUUUUCAAUUAAUUAUGCUAAGUUGUAUAGUUGCACAGUGGAAUUUAAACUUAGCAAUAGGUUGAUUUAUCGAAUGAGACUUGAUUAAGUAAAUUGAAUAUGCUUGCAACUAAAGGAUGCGCGGAUAAGAGUUAAGCAGGCAAUUUAUCUAGGUAAGUAAGUGAGCAAGAUAGACAAUGACAAAAAGUAUCACAAACACAACAAACAUAUAGUGGUUCGGUGCACCCCAGCACCUACAUCCACUCCCCAAGACCUCUUGGGAAUUUCACUAUAAUCCUACAGAUUACAGCCGGUUGUUUUACAAGCUCACAACCCAACUUGUUGUUUUGCGAGAUAACAACGAACUCGGUCGGUUUUCACAGGCUCACCGACUAGAACCAACCGAUUGUUUUUCCGGGUUCACAAUCAAACCCAGUUGGUUUUUCCACAGGCUCACCAACCACAACCUUACAACGAUUGUUUUUCGGGUUCACAAUCAACCCAGUUGGUUUUCCCAAAGGCUCACCAACCACAACCUAACACCGUUGGUUUUCCCCUUUGGCUCACCAACAAACCUUAACCCCUUGAUUCAAUCCCUUGAUUGAAUCAAGUUACAAGAUAUUAAAACAAAGGUUUAAAACAAAUUAAAGCUUCUUAAACAAGCAAAUAUAACAAUAUAAACAAAUAGAGUAAAGAGAAGCCCUUAAACGAGUUUUGAAGAUGAAGGAGCUCUGCUUCUUCUUUACUUGAUCCUCUUCUGAUUUGGCACGAAGUAGAGGAUCACCGAGGCAGCACACGGAUGGAGAGGAAGCUAUGGGAUUCACUUGGAUGCUCUUCUUCUCUCUGUUUCGCUUUGGAUGGUCCUUUUGUGCUUAUGGAAGAUUUUCCUUGUAAUCUCUUUGAAAUCUCUUCCCUAAAUGUUCUCUCCCACUUCCAUGCCGUCUCCCCUAGCUCUCCUCUUGAUUUUAUAGCUUUACAUGUCGUGGAACCAGAAAUCUAGCCGUUAGAGACAAAAAUAGAGCCGUUGUCCACAGUCUGCAACUCCUGACAAAGUUUCCGUUGGGAUCGGAGUCGACUCGCGCGAUCUGGAGUCGACUCGACUGUAG
rnacentral:lncRNA from 1 species